GACGAACGCUGGCGGCGUGCUUAACACAUGCAAGUCGAACGGUGAAGCGAGUGCUUGCACUCGUGGAUCAGUGGCGAACGGGUGAGUAACACGUGAGUAACCUGCCCAUCACUCUGGGAUAAGCACUGGAAACGGUGUCUAAUACUGGAUACGACCAACCCUUGCAUGGGGUGUUGGUGGAAAGAUUUAUCGGUGAUGGAUGGACUCGCGGCCUAUCAGCUUGUUGGCGGGGUAAUGGCCCACCAAGGCGACGACGGGUAGCCGGCCUGGGAGGGUGACCGGCCACACUGGGACUGAGACACGGCCCAGACUCCUACGGGAGGCAGCAGUGGGGAAUAUUGCACAAUGGGCGAAAGCCUGAUGCAGCGACGCCGCGUGAGGGAUGACGGCCUUCGGGUUGUAAACCUCUUUCAGCAGGGAAGAAGCGAAAGUGACGGUACCUGCAGAAGAAGCACCGGCUAACUACGUG
rnacentral:rRNA from 1 species